rnacentral:lncRNA from 1 species
CCGCAGUUUUUAUGGCAUCGAUAAAAUGCCACUUCCUGUGGCCGGAGCUCCCCAAGAAGACAGACUAGCUGAUACCCUGCACCAUAUGGCUGGCAGUGAUGGGGAAAUUCAUUUGCCAUUGGGGGGAGUGAGGCUGUGUGUGUGCUUCUGUGGAGUGCAGAGCGCCGUGCCACCUGGUGGCAAGCAAAUACGAGUACUCGUGGAUGCUGAAUUAAAGGAUUGCCCGUGCGAUAUAUCUAUAAAAAGAAACAUUUAUAUGUACA